GGGUUGUGAGGUUAAGCGACUAAGCGUACACGGUGGAUGCCCUGGCAGUCAGAGGCGAUGAAGGACGUGCUAAUCUGCGAUAAGCGUCGGUGAGGUGAUAUGAACCGUUAUAACCGGCGAUUUCCGAAUGGGGAAACCCAGUGUGUUUCGACACACUAUCAUUAACUGAAUCCAUAGGUUAAUGAGGCGAACCGGGGGAACUGAAACAUCUAAGUACCCCGAGGAAAAGAAAUCAACCGAGAUUCCCCCAGUAGCGGCGAGCGAACGGGGAGGAGCCCAGAGCCUGAAUCAGUGUGUGUGUUAGUGGAAGCGUCUGGAAAGGCGCGCGAUACAGGGUGACAGCCCCGUACACAAAAAUGCACAUAUUGUGAGCUCGAUGAGUAGGGCGGGACACGUGGUAUCCUGUCUGAAUAUGGGGGGACCAUCCUCCAAGGCUAAAUACUCCUGACUGACCGAUAGUGAACCAGUACCGUGAGGGAAAGGCGAAAAGAACCCCGGCGAGGGGAGUGAAAAAGAACCUGAAACCGUGUACGUACAAGCAGUGGGAGCCUCUUAAUGGGGUGACUGCGUACCUUUUGUAUAAUGGGUCAGCGACUUAUAUUCUGUAGCAAGGUUAACCGAAUAGGGGAGCCGAAGGGAAACCGAGUCUUAACUGGGCGUUAAGUUGCAGGGUAUAGACCCGAAACCCGGUGAUCUAGCCAUGGGCAGGUUGAAGGUUGGGUAACACUAACUGGAGGACCGAACCGACUAAUGUUGAAAAAUUAGCGGAUGACUUGUGGCUGGGGGUGAAAGGCCAAUCAAACCGGGAGAUAGCUGGUUCUCCCCGAAAGCUAUUUAGGUAGCGCCUCGUGAAUUCAUCUCCGGGGGUAGAGCACUGUUUCGGCAAGGGGGUCAUCCCGACUUACCAACCCGAUGCAAACUGCGAAUACCGGAGAAUGUUAUCACGGGAGACACACGGCGGGUGCUAACGUCCGUCGUGAAGAGGGAAACAACCCAGACCGCCAGCUAAGGUCCCAAAGUCAUGGUUAAGUGGGAAACGAUGUGGGAAGGCCCAGACAGCCAGGAUGUUGGCUUAGAAGCAGCCAUCAUUUAAAGAAAGCGUAAUAGCUCACUGGUCGAGUCGGCCUGCGCGGAAGAUGUAACGGGGCUAAACCAUGCACCGAAGCUGCGGCAGCGACACUAUGUGUUGUUGGGUAGGGGAGCGUUCUGUAAGCCUGUGAAGGUGGCCUGUGAGGGUUGCUGGAGGUAUCAGAAGUGCGAAUGCUGACAUAAGUAACGAUAAAGCGGGUGAAAAGCCCGCUCGCCGGAAGACCAAGGGUUCCUGUCCAACGUUAAUCGGGGCAGGGUGAGUCGACCCCUAAGGCGAGGCCGAAAGGCGUAGUCGAUGGGAAACAGGUUAAUAUUCCUGUACUUGGUGUUACUGCGAAGGGGGGACGGAGAAGGCUAUGUUGGCCGGGCGACGGUUGUCCCGGUUUAAGCGUGUAGGCUGGUUUUCCAGGCAAAUCCGGAAAAUCAAGGCUGAGGCGUGAUGACGAGGCACUACGGUGCUGAAGCGACAAAUGCCCUGCUUCCAGGAAAAGCCUCUAAGCAUCAGGUAACAUCAAAUCGUACCCCAAACCGACACAGGUGGUCAGGUAGAGUAUACCAAGGCGCUUGAGAGAACUCGGGUGAAGGAACUAGGCAAAAUGGUGCCGUAACUUCGGGAGAAGGCACGCUGAUAUGUAGGUGAAGCGACUUGCUUGUGGAGCUGAAAUCAGUCGAAGAUACCAGCUGGCUGCAACUGUUUAUUAAAAACACAGCACUGUGCAAACACGAAAGUGGACGUAUACGGUGUGACGCCUGCCCGGUGCCGGAAGGUUAAUUGAUGGGGUUAGCGGUAACGCGAAGCUCUUGAUCGAAGCCCCGGUAAACGGCGGCCGUAACUAUAACGGUCCUAAGGUAGCGAAAUUCCUUGUCGGGUAAGUUCCGACCUGCACGAAUGGCGUAAUGAUGGCCAGGCUGUCUCCACCCGAGACUCAGUGAAAUUGAACUCGCUGUGAAGAUGCAGUGUACCCGCGGCAAGACGGAAAGACCCCGUGAACCUUUACUAUAGCUUGACACUGAACAUUGAGCCUUGAUGUGUAGGAUAGGUGGGAGGCUUUGAAGUGUGGACGCCAGUCUGCAUGGAGCCGACCUUGAAAUACCACCCUUUAAUGUUUGAUGUUCUAACGUGGGCCCCUUACCGGGGUUGCGGACAGUGUCUGGUGGGUAGUUUGACUGGGGCGGUCUCCUCCUAAAGAGUAACGGAGGAGCACGAAGGUUGGCUAAUCCUGGUCGGACAUCAGGAGGUUAGUGCAAUGGCAUAAGCCAGCUUGACUGCGAGCGUGACGGCGCGAGCAGGUGCGAAAGCAGGUCAUAGUGAUCCGGUGGUUCUGAAUGGAAGGGCCAUCGCUCAACGGAUAAAAGGUACUCCGGGGAUAACAGGCUGAUACCGCCCAAGAGUUCAUAUCGACGGCGGUGUUUGGCACCUCGAUGUCGGCUCAUCACAUCCUGGGGCUGAAGUAGGUCCCAAGGGUAUGGCUGUUCGCCAUUUAAAGUGGUACGCGAGCUGGGUUUAGAACGUCGUGAGACAGUUCGGUCCCUAUCUGCCGUGGGCGCUGGAGAACUGAGGGGGGCUGCUCCUAGUACGAGAGGACCGGAGUGGACGCAUCACUGGUGUUCGGGUUGUCAUGCCAAUGGCACUGCCCGGUAGCUAAAUGCGGAAGAGAUAAGUGCUGAAAGCAUCUAAGCACGAAACUUGCCCCGAGAUGAGUUCUCCCUGACUCCUUGAGAGUCCUGAAGGAACGUUGAAGACGACGACGUUGAUAGGCCGGGUGUGUAAGCGCAGCGAUGCGUUGAGCUAACCGGUACUAAUGAACCGUGAGGCUUAACCUUACAACGCCGAAG
rnacentral:rRNA from 1 species